AACGAACGCUGGCGGCAUGCCUAACACAUGCAAGUCGAACGAGAUCUUCGGGUCUAGUGGCGCACGAGUGCGUAACGCGUGGGAAUCUGCCCUUUGGUUCGGAAUAACAGUUGGAAACGACUGCUAAUACCGGAUGAUGACGAAAGUCCAAAGAUUUAUCGCCAGAGGAUGAGCCCGCGUAGGAUUAGCUAGUUGGUGUGGUAAAGGCGCACCAAGGCGACGAUCCUUAGCUGGUCUGAGAGGAUGAUCAGCCACACUGGGACUGAGACACGGCCCAGACUCCUACGGGAGGCAGCAGUGGGGAAUAUUGGACAAUGGGCGAAAGCCUGAUCCAGCAAUGCCGCGUGAGUGAUGAAGGCCUUAGGGUUGUAAAGCUCUUUUACCCGGGAUGAUAAUGACAGUACCGGGAGAGUAAGCCCCGGCUAAAUUCGUGCCAGCAGCCGCCGUAA
rnacentral:rRNA from 1 species